AGUGGUCAUGUCUUCGCACUGG
rnacentral:miRNA from 1 species